UGGGGAAUUUUGGACAAUGGGCGAAAGCCUGAUCCAGCAAUGCCGCGUGUGUGAAGAAGGCCUUCGGGUUGUAAAGCACUUUUGUCCGGAAAGAAAUCCUUGGCUCUAAUACAGUCGGGGGAUGACGGUACCGGAAGAAUAAGCACCGGCUAACUACGUGCCAGCAGCCGCGGUAAUGCGUAGGGUGCAAGCGUUAAUCGGAAUUACUGGGCGUAAAGCGUGCGCAGGCGGUUUGCUAAGACCGAUGUGAAAUCCCCGGGCUCAACCUGGGAACUGCAUUGGUGACUGGCAGGCUAGAGUAUGGCAGAGGGGGGUAGAAUUCCACGUGUAGCAGUGAAAUGCGUAGAGAUGUGGAGGAAUACCGAUGGCGAAGGCAGCCCCCUGGGCCAAUACUGACGCUCAUGCACGAAAGCGUGGGGAGCAAACAGGAUUAGAUACCCUGGUAGUCCACGCCCUAAACGAUGUCAACUAGUUGUUGGGGAUUCAUUUCCUUAGUAACGUAGCUAACGCGUGAAGUUGACCGCCUGGGGGAGUACGGUCGCAAGAUUAAAACUCAAAUGAAUUGACGGGGUCAUAGCUGUUUCCU
rnacentral:rRNA from 1 species